GACGAACGCUGGCGGCGUGCUUAACACAUGCAAGUCGAACGGAAAGGCCCUGCUUUUGUGGGGUGCUCGAGUGGCGAACGGGUGAGUAACACGUGAGUAACCUGCCCUUGACUUUGGGAUAACUUCAGGAAACUGGGGCUAAUACCGGAUAGGAGCUCCUGCUGCAUGGUGGGGGUUGGACAGUUUCGGCGGUUGGGGAUGGACUCGCGGCUUAUCAGCUUGUUGGUGGGGUAGUGGCUUACCAAGGCUUUGACGGGUAGCCGGCCUGAGAGGGUGACCGGCCACAUUGGGACUGAGAUACGGCCCAGACUGCUACGGGAGGCAGCAGUGGGGAAUAUUGCACAAUGGGCGGAAGCGUGAUGCAGCAACGCCGCGUGCGGGAUGACGGCCUUCGGGUUGUAAACCGCUUUCGCAUGUGACGAAGCGUGAGUGACGGUAAUGGGUAAAGAAGCACCGGCUAACUACGUG
rnacentral:rRNA from 1 species